GACGAAGGGGGCUAGCGUUGUUCGGAAUCACUGGGCGUAAAGGGCGCGUAGGCGGCUUUAUAAGUCGGGGGUGAAAGCCUGUGGCUCAACCACAGAAUUGCCUUCGAUACUGUAUGGCUUGAGACCGGAAGAGGUAAGUGGAACUGCGAGUGUAGAGGUGAAAUUCGUAGAUAUUCGCAAGAACACCAGUGGCGAAGGCGGCUUACUGGUCCGGUUCUGACGCUGAGGCGCGAAAGCGUGGGGAGCAAACAGG
rnacentral:rRNA from 1 species